rnacentral:rRNA from 1 species
GGCAAAAUCACAUUGAAACAUUAUUUCCCGUAAGAUCACCGAUGUUAAGCAACGUUGAGCCUAGUCAGUACCUAGAUGGGUGACUGCUUGGAAAUACCAGGU